CGACUGUGAUAAUGCGUUUUCACAGUUAUUAACAUUAUAACUCUAGCAAACUUUUAUAUUUUGUAUAUUUCAUAUACAAAACUGUUAAUGAACAUUUAUAACACUAUGCAUUGUGUUUUCUUACCUUGGCAUUAAAGAGCAUUGCCAAAUAAACUUAAUGCUGUUUCAAGAGCUGAGGGGAGUGACAGCAAAUUUGACAUCUUUCUCUCUUUUGACCAAGUAAUCAAUCAAUCACUCAGAAUUUUUUUUCUUCUUUUUUUUAGGCAGCAAAAAAGUGAAUAGUGAAGUCUUCUAAUAUUUGGCAAAACUCAAAACAUGUUGAGGUGCAAGAUGACUGUAGUAGUUUUUCUAAUAUGCUAUAUAAAAAGAGACAAAGAAGUAAUAUGUGAGACAUGAAAGUAGCACCAGCAUGUAGCUAUAGACAAUGGUCAAAUAUCUUGCUGUCAUUAUAUAAAAAUACUGACUAAACAGAAUCGACUAUUGUGGAGAGUGACCUACACUGCGUGCAAAAAAAUAGAAUGUAAAAAAAAUUCUCCAGAGCAUCAUCACUGAUUUUAUGGUAAACAUGUAAAAGGUCUGUCACAAUAAAAUCAAUUAUGCAUAAGCUGCAUAAUCGCAUUGGAAACUGCGAAGGGCAUCCACUGGGAUGUUCGUGUUGGUUUAACUCGACGGCUUUAGGACCUUCUGGACUGGGUUGCAUCCUGCUCGCUGUUUCGCUACAAUGUCAGCACGCCUGAUCUCUCUCAUCGCUUGCUGCAUAACCUUUUUCCAAUCUGGAAAUGCUCAACUGGGAGAGUCUAAAUUACAUGAUAGACCUUAUGAAGUCCUGCUGAGGCAAAAUCUGGUUCUUCUAAUAAGUGUUCUGUCCAUACUGCUGGCGGUCAUGAUUGGAAUGGCAGUUUGUGUCUACAAACCUCUUCGACGCAGGUGACAGGCCGGGAACUGAACACCACUGUGGCGAAGGCUUGGUUGUGAAUAUUAAUGAGCCAAUCCAAGCCAUUGGACGAGAACAAGGCAACGUCAGCAUGAGCUUAUUUAAUAGUCAGGAUCCAACACUUUGCUAUUGGAAGGUUACGAAUCAACGUCAGUAUGACAUAAUUAAUAUUGAUUUCUUGCGCCUUCCUUGCAAAUCGAGUCACAAUCUUCGAUUAAGCAUCAGUGUAAUCAAUCCAAAUCUUCCCAAACCUAGCUUAUAAUUUACAUUUUAAAACCGAACACUAUUUUAAACACAUGUAUAGCCUAUAAAGAUGUUUUCCUUAAUGUGCACAGUCUGAAUUUAUACCUAUUUAUUUUUUCAUUGAAUUUUAUU
ensembl:lncRNA